rnacentral:rRNA from 1 species
GAUGAACGCUGGCGGCGUGCCUAAUACAUGCAAGUAGAACGCUGAAGGAAGGAGCUUGCUCUUUCCGGAUGAGUUGCGAACGGGUGAGUAACGCGUAGGUAACCUGCCUGGUAGCGGGGGAUAACUAUGGGAAACGAUAGCUAAUACCGCAUAACAGUAGAUGUUGCAUGAUAUCUACUUAAAAGGUGCAAUUGCACCACUACCAGAUGGACCUGCGUUGUAUUAGCUAGUUGGUGAGGUAACGGCUCACCAAGGCGACGAUACAUAACCGACCUGAGAGGGUGAUCCGCCCAACUGGGAAUGAGACACGGCCCAGACUCCCACGGGAGGCAGCAGUAGGGAAUCUUCGGCCAUGGACGGAAGUCUGACCGAGCAACGCCGCGGUAGGGAAGAAGGGUUUCGGAUCGUAAAGCUCCGUUGUAAGAGAAGAACGAGUGUGAGAGUGGAAAGUUCACACUGUGACGGUAUCUUACCAGAAAGGGACGGCUAACUACGUG